rnacentral:rRNA from 1 species
GACGAACGCUGGCGGCGUGCCUAAUACAUGCAAGUAGAACGCUGAAGGAGGAGCUUGCUUCUCUGGACGAGUUGCGAACGGGUGAGUAACGCGUAGGUAACCUGCCCGGUAGCGGGGGAUAACUAUUGGAAACGAUAGCUAAUACCGCAUAAGAGCAGAUGUUGCAUGACAUUUGCUUAAAAGGUGCAAUUGCAUCACUACCAGAUGGACCUGCGGUGUAUUGGCUAGUUGGUGGGGUAACGGCGCACCAAGGCGACGAUGCAUAGCCGACCUGAGAGGGGGGGCAGCCGGACUGGGACGGAGACACGGCCCAGACGCCUACGGGAAGCAGCCGGAGGGAAUCUGCGGGAAUGGGCGGAAGUCUGACCGAGCUACGCCGCGGGAGUAUAGAGGGUUGUCGGGUCGUGAAGCACUGUUGUAAGGGAAGAACGAGUGUGAGAGUGGAAAGUUCACACUGUGACGGUAACUUACCAGAAAGCAACGGCUAACUACGUG